UACGGAGGGUGCAAGCGUUAAUCGGAAUAACUGGGCGUAAAGCGCACGCAGGCGGUUUGUUAAGCCAGAUGUGAAAGCCCGGGGCUCAACCUCGGAACUGCAUUUGGAACUGGCAAACUAGAGUCUUGUAGAGGGGGGUAGAAUUUCCAGUGUAGCGGUGAAAUGCGUAGAGAUUGGAAGGAAUACCAGUGGCGAAGGCGACCCCCUGGACAAAGACUGACGCUCACGUGCGAAAGCGUGGGGAGCAAACAGG
rnacentral:rRNA from 1 species